rnacentral:rRNA from 1 species
AGCGAACGUUUGCGGCGGGCCUAACACAUGCAAGUCGAACGGGCUAGCAAUAGUCAGUGGCGCACGGGUGCGUAACACGUGGGUAAUCAACCCUUCAGCUCGGGAUAACGCCUUGAAAGGGGCGCUAAUACCGGAUACGACGCGAGGAGCUUCGGCUGCUUGCGGGAAAGAUUCGCAAGGAUCUCUGAAGGACGAGCCUGCGGCCCAUCAGCUAGUUGGUGAGGUAAGAGCUCACCAAGGCGAAGACGGGUAGCUGGUCUGAGAGGAUGAUCAGCCACACUGGAACUGAGACACGGUCCAGACUCCUACGGGAGGCAGCAGUGGGGAAUAUUGCGCAAUGGGCGAAAGCCUGACGCAGCCACGCCGCGUGAGCGAUGAAGGCCUU